UACGGAAGGCAGCAGUGGGGAAUAUUGCACAAUGGGCGAAAGCCUGAUGCAGCUAUGCCGCGUGUAUGAAGAAGGCCUUAGGGUUGUAAAGUACUUUCAUCGGGGAGGAAAAAACAAAACUAAUAAUUUUAUUUCUUGACGUUACCCGAAAAAGAAGCACCGGCUAACUCCGUGCCAGCAGCCGCGGUAAUACGGAGGGUGCUAGCGUUAAUCAGAAUUACUGGGCGUAAAGAGCACGUAGGUGGUUUUUUUAAGUUCAGAUGUGAAAUCCCUGGGCUUAACCUAGGAACUGCAUUUUGAAACUGAAAUACUAGAGUAUCGUAGAGGGAGGUAGAAUUCUAGGUGUAGCGGUGAAAUGCGUAGAUAUCUGGAGGAAUACCUGUGGCGAAAGCGGCCUCCUAAACGAAUACUGACACUGAGGGUGCGAAAGCGUGGGGAGCAAACAGGGAUUAGAUACC
rnacentral:rRNA from 1 species